CCCUAAUGGGCUGCAGGAAGCAAAGGGUUGUAUGUGACUGUUCCAGCCAAGAAGGCCAGACCAGUUCUUUGUAGCUUAUGUUCUUCUGACUCACCCCUAAGUCCCAUGGGCUGAGUAACUUUUCCAGCCUUGUGAUUGUGGAAACUUGUUUCAGGAAGAGCGGAUAUGAAAAGGACAUAAGGUGACCCCACCCCAGCUUCAAAGUGGCUCCCACUGGAGUCAAUACCUUCCUUCGCUGUAUCUGUUUGCAGUUUUUAAAUCACCGUUUCACUGCCCAGCCCAGCAGCACAUUCAUUUCCCUGCCCUGUUUCACGGUUGGUAAACAGAAUCCCCAAGGCAGAAGGAGGUCGUUCAGACAGUUCUCGCCGACAGUUCUCGCCGGGACCUUUUCCCCAAGCCUUGCUCACUUCCUUGCUAGCCUCCCAGACGGCAGAGGUCACCGCAGUCGCCGCACCCCGGGCCCCAGAGGUGUUUAAUCAACGGCUGGCCGCUGGCCUUCGGACACUGUUCUAAGGGCUGCUCUUGCCCUUUCCACCGGUCCCCUCUGUCGCCUCGUCUCCCCGCCACGACGUAGCCAACGGGGUAGCGGUACUGCAGCGUGGCCCAGCGCCCCUCCCCAAAGCCGCCAAGACAGACCCCCGAACUACUCCCCGAGGAGGCGUGCGUGUGGACAAAGACCCCAAACAUUCCUCUGCUGGGCGGGAAGUGCUCUUCGGGCUCUCUCUAUUGGCUCUUUCAAUGACGGACGGGAGCAGUAACCAACCGAAGUCUGGAUAGGACGCAUGCGUACACAAAAGGUCAAGUUCCCGUGUGGGAAAAACCCGAGCGGGGCAAACCAAUUUGGGCGGCGUCUCUCCAGGGCUUGGGGGACGAGGCGCGCAUGCGCUGCUCCAAGUGCCUCCAACUCUUUGCUCACAUCGGGGGGUAGUUAGAACCCAGGAUCUUGGGUUCAGUUUUCCCAGAUCCUUCGUCUCCGUCAUCAAUGCAUCCGGACCGGGCGCUGCCUGGGAGAUUUAGAAAAUCGGGGGAUUUCGGUUCCUGCCCUCGGGCAACAAGACCGUCCCUAACGGCCGAGGAGCCCUGGGCUUGGAUCUUUGUGCAGGGCCAACGCGUGAGCGCUGAUGUUUCACGUUAUACUAAGCUCAGAUCCAUUUUCCCUAGAUUGUUGCACAAAACUCCUCCAGAUGAGUUGUGAAGCCGAGUGGAGUCCCAGGACACUGCGAGUCACCGUGCAGCAGCCUGGAACCUGGCUGCCCAGUUCCCCAGUCCCAUGAGGACUCUGCCUCCCUGCUUGUGUCUAGUGGGGGUGAUGGCACUUAAGAUUUAAAAGGUUAUAUCUGGCUGUGUAUGUCACACCCACCUCAUGAAUUCCUGUAGAACACAUAUCUUGCCAUUUUCAAGUUUAUAUUCCCUUAGAGUACUCAGCACGAAACAGGCCCAGCAAUGUAGCGAAGCCCUGAGCAACUGGCCCGGCUCAACAUUCUGAUUUAUCAAUUUAGUCCAUUAAUCUCUAAAGUUCUAUGGUUUUAACAAAAAUUGUGCAUAGUAAUAUUUAAGAAUCAUGAAUUUCCCCUGAUGUAUAUAAAAAAUGUUUAUUUGCAUGACUUGUACCCUUCUACCCCCAAGAGCCACCAAACAAAAUUUCCGAUACACACGCGCACACACACACACACACACACACACGCACAUACAAACACACACAUACAC